rnacentral:rRNA from 1 species
UACGAAGGGGGCGAGCGUGUUCGGAAUUACUGGGCGUAAAGGGCGCGCAGGCGGCCUUUAGAAGUCAGAUGUGAAAGCCCCCGGGGCUCAACCUGGGAAUGGCAUUUGAUACUCUGAGGCUGGAGUACGGGAGAGGAGAGUGGAAUUCCCAGUGUAGAGGUGAAAUUCGUAGAUAUUGGAAGAACACCGGUGGCGAAGGCGGCUCUCGUGGACCGUAACUGACGCUGAGGCGCGAAAG